rnacentral:misc_RNA from 1 species
GAAAUGCGAUAAGUAAUGUGAAUUGCAGAAUUCAGUGAAUCAUCGAAUCUUUGACCGCACAUUGCGCCCGCCAGUAUUCUGGCGGGCAUGCCUGUUCGAGCGUCAUUACAACCCUCAGGCCCCCGGGCCUGGCGUUGGGGAUCGGCGGAAGCCCCCUGCGGGCACAACGCCGUCCCCCAAAUACAGUGGCGGUCCCGCCGCAGCUUCCAUUGCGUAGUAGCUAACACCUCGCAACUGGAGAGCGGCGCGGCCACGCCGUAAAACACCCAACUUCUGAAUGUUGACCUCGAAUCAGGUAGGAAUACCCGCUGAACUUGAGC